rnacentral:lncRNA from 1 species
AUGAAAACAAAAGAUUGAUUCUCACACCUACUAUCUACCAACAAUCUCUUCUACCACAUCCACAAUCUGUGAACUCUCCUAUGCCUAUGUGUAGAGGGACACCAUGAUAUCUCACUGAUAAAUGUCUUACAUGUGAAAAUCUGGUUCAGUCAUGAGGAAAAGUUUUCUUGAAAAUAGCAUCCUCAAGAGGAACAGAAAUGACCAGGCCCCAGACCACUCCUACCAUCAGUAAUGGGCCUGUUCUCCACUAGCAGCCACCACUGCCCUUCUUCCUGCCUGUACCUGGAUGAUAUCAGAAGAAUCAGAUUCAAAUGCAUAAGUCUUUUCUCAGAAGAUGAGAUUUAAAGGAUGUGGCUGAAAGAGUAAGAGAAAAGCUAAUGAUGGUGUGAGUAGAAGCAUAUGUAUGAAGAUAUCUAAUUGAUAAAUGUUAAGUAGCUGCUUCUUUUUCUUCAUCCAUACACUGUAAUGUGUAAGGAUAGAGUCCUUUUGCAAACAAGCAUUCCAAACAGGAAACAUUCCACCUUCUCCUCUUCAGAAAACAUCUAAAGGAC